rnacentral:misc_RNA from 1 species
ACUUUAAUAGAUCAAGAAAGUAACUCACAUUUACUUCGCUCAGAAAAUUAUACAGUAUUUUUUGAAAAAGCAAUCUUGUUAGUUGUAUAAAAGUAUAAUGUAUUCAAAUUGCCGCUACUAGUGACACCGUGAGAUCAACGUUAUUAGAGAACGGUCGGCAAAGUCGUUAUCGUUAUGUUAUUGAUCUGCAGUGGAACUAAACAGGGCAGCCCUCUAACUUUAUUGGUUUUUAUAUAUGACCGCGUGGUGCAGCAUCUGUAUUGGAAUUGUGUUGUUGUUUCGGUCAGCGUUUGUUCAAAUCAAUGGUUUCCUUUACUGCAAAUAUUUAAACAAUUAACGGUGGGGCCACGAUAUGUUGCAAGCAUGUGACGGCAUAAGAAGAAGAAUGUCGAUCCCCGGCAAUAUCGAUGAAAUAUUCGAGGUCAAGGAGUUGCUUCGAAAAUUUCGGACAAUGUGGAUGUGUUCUGAUGUAAAGACUGUGGUCCAAUCUACAGUCAUAUAUUGGGUUGGCAUCAUUAGGUGAUAAUGAUAAAAUCCGUAAUCGCUUAGUUGCCAACUCAAUAAAUAUGUCUCGAUAGUUAUAUAUUAUAACGAAAGCAUAGAAAAUAUCCUCCAAAAAUUGAGUCGCGAAAAGUUAACAUGGAAGACAUCGAGAUCCUUGUUCUUGCUGGACAUGCUAUAAAUGUCUCAGACAGAGACUGACACACUUUACUCAUUUCAGUCUGUCAUGCAAGAACAAGAACUUUGAUGUCAUACAUGUUGAUUUUUCACGACUCAACUUUCGGACGAUUCUACGUAGCAGGUAUCGAGACUUUAUAAGACCGUCGAUUGGACCACGAUCGUACACACAUGGUCUGGGAACUCUUAUGAAAGGG